UUUGCAUACAAGAGAAAAUAAGUGGUACGUAAGACACCCAUGAUCAACGACUUCAAGACAAGAUGGCCUGCACUCUUUGAAGUAUAUGAGAUCAACACAGAAUUUAAGCGGAUCACAACCCCUGCCCCUGCAGUCUGGUUUCUUUCACAGCUAGAUUUGCUGACAAACUUCUGAAGCUGUUUGAAAAGAGAGGAGGGCAGAUAGGCAAGAAUCUACGGAGCAUUUCGUCACAAAUGAGUCAAGCCGGGAAUGCAUUCUUAAGGGGCUUUGUGUUUACCUCAGCGAUGACC